rnacentral:misc_RNA from 1 species
UACAAACAUAAAUAUAAUCAUCAUCAUCAUUAUCCAGGGAUCAGUGUACUACAAACAACAGAUUUUACAAGUAAAAGCUUCCCCAGUAUCUAAACUGUUGCUACAAGAAGAAAAAUCAAAAAGAAGAAAGAAUUCAAGAAAACACCCAUGCCUUUGCAUCACUUGCCGUCUUGUAAUUUAUCUAGGCUGUCACCACACUCACCCAACCACUCCUCCAGUUUGGCUUCUUUAUCAGCUUUGAAAUCAUCAUAGUUUUCUGAUAGGGACAAUACAUAGGGAGGUGGCAAGUUCAUCUCAACUUUUUCAUCUUCCGUUUUUAGCUCAUCAGCAGCCUCACCAGAUAUGCGCAGUUCAUCAGAUUCCAUUUCAGGCAAAGAUGAACCAGUGCUAGCAGAUGCAACCAACUCCGAUGGAUUAUUGUAAGACUCUAGUUUCUCAGAUGGAGUUGGUUUUGAAUCUUUCAGAUCAAGCUGUGGCCACUUGAAAUUGCUG